UUGAUUUAUUUAUGUUUCAUAGUAAACUGUUUGUCAAUCCGUCUCUCCCUCAUAUUCUCGCUCGCCACUCUCCCUCUCUCGCUCGCUUAUUCCUAUCACUCGCCUCUCUCGCUUUAUACAAUAGAAUCGUAUAAAUUGUGGUUCUAAUUGUAUAAAAUGAGAGAAAAUUGUAUAAACGCAUGCAAAUACAUAUAUAUUCAUCCUAUACACUUAUGAUUAUACAAUACAAAUAUUUACCUGCCCAAGUCUCUUUUGCCUUUCUCGCUUUAUUCAAACUUAAAUUGUAAAUAAUGUCUCUUUCUCGUUCUAUACAAUUCGAUUCAAUUGUAUAUUCCUUGUACAAGUCUCUUUUUCCUUUUCGUUUUAUACAAAUCCAAAUUGUAUAUAUUUUUUCUCUUUCCCGUUUUUUACAAUUUGAUUCAAUUGUAUAUCCAUGCACAAGUCUCUUUUUGCCUUUCUUUCUUUCUCAUUUUAUACAAUUCAAAUUGUAUAUAAUUUCUCUCUUUCUCAUUUUAUACAAUUCAAUAUUGCCUUUCUCGCUUUCUCGUUUUAUACAAUUCAAAUUGUAUAUAAUUUCAAUCUUUCUCGUUUUUAUACAAUUCGUUUUAUAUAAUUCGCUUCAAUUUUAUAUGUAUAACGAAUUAGACAUAUAUAAGUUUGGUAUGGAGCGGAAUCAUGCAAACUUUGCUAUAACAUACAACUAUUAAUUUUAUAUUUGCUAUAUGUGAAAGUUGUUCUUAUUUAAAAGGUAUUUUUAGUCUGAAUAUUUUCAAGUUAUUUGAAUUUAAAUGUUACUAGAUGGGUAUGGCCCGUGCUAGAGCAUGGCCCAACAUUAUCAAAUUAAAUGGUUGUUCUAACUAAAGAGUAAGCAAUUCCACUACAAUUUCUCACCAAUAAUUUACAUGCAUUUUAUCGAAUUGAAAUUUCCAUGUAAAUCAUAUCCUCUACCAAUGUUUCUCAUUCUAGAAAAUGUCGAUUAUAAUUAGUGAAAGAAUUUCACUAAAGAAAAGCAGAAGAUUAAUGAAGUAGCAUCAACAAUAAGAAAAAUGUAUAUAUACAACGAAUUUUAAAAUAGUUGAGUCCUUUGUAGUGGAACUAUUUUACUAACCCCACUUUAUGAAGUCACCUUACUAUAAAAAUCUAAUUGUUCUGUUGAACCAUCACGAAAUACUGUUAUAAACAUAACACCCCUAAACAUAUAAGGUUUGUUUGUAUCUUCAAAUACAAAAAAGACAGGAUCUAAUUCAAUAUUUACAGUAAACUGGAGCUAGAUGUCUAAGUUUAGUAGUCAAUCUGGUUGUACCUUGAAAAUCAAGCGUAUACAUAUCCUAAUAACUAUAACGUAGAAGAUCUGGUUGUACCUUGAAAAUCAAGCGUAUACAUAUCAACUUAUAAACUUGGACUUGAAUAACUAAAAAAUAUAUGUUGUGAAUUACCAGUAAACUAAUGAACAAAAAUUAUAUUCAAGUAAAAAAAAAAAUAUACGCAUAUAAGACCUUCAAAUAUCCAUUUAUACAAAAAUAAUGAAUUACACAUUCAGUUUUCUUUUUCUCCCUCAACACCUUUUUUAUUUAAUGGAGGACCUCUAAUGCAUUUUGGCGGGCUAGAUGUUGGCAUAACUAUUGUCUUUUAUCUCUUUGCUACUAACAACCAAAAUCACUAUUUCACAUUAUUAUCGUUUUAAUAUUCUCACGUUAUCACAUUUCAUGAUGGUGUGAUCUCCUCAUAACAGUGUCUUCCUUCUCAAUACUCAACAAGAGAAGUGCAGGAGAUAAUAAAUUCUUUAAAAAUCACCUUUAGCAAGGACAAGAUAACUCUAGAAUACUAAAUUUUUCUUCCUUCUUUUUCUUAUACUAAUUGCCACUAAUUACUUUUUAAAAAAGAACAUUAAAAUAUUUCACUUAAACUUCAAUUCAUCGGCUCAGUAUUAUGAAUUUGAACUAAAGAGUCAUUUAUCCCACGAAGAAAAUAAGCUCCCAAGGUUUCUAAUUAUAAUGACUUUGUUACAUGCAAGGUAAUAUAUGUUGGAUAAAAUGAUAUCACACCCAGGAUAAUUUCCAAACUAAAUACCAAUAGGAAGAGAGUAACAAAGACACCAAAUAUUAAAAUGGGUGAAUAUGGUACCCGAAUAAGUAAUACAAUAAUAUUGAUAAAAAACAUGGUAGUGUCAAAAGACUAUUGCUCAACACUCUUUUAUUUCUUACAACUACAAAUAAUAUUACUUGCAUUCUAUUUUCUCACAAACUAAGAAGUAGUUUGUGGAUUACUCUCUCUACUCUCUAUUGCUUCUCUAUUUUGGUGUGUCUUCAAGUGUUUAAUGACCAUUCUAUUUAUAGAGUUUUUUGAAGACUUGAUUACAUCAUUGAUGACAGAAUGUGGUAGCCAAUUUUAAUAAAAAAUUGGCUGCCAAACUCUACCAAACUUUUACUACC
rnacentral:lncRNA from 1 species